rnacentral:tRNA from 1 species
GACUCGUUAGCUCAGUAGGUUAGAGCGCCGAUAAACAGAUUUACUUAAUCAUCGGAGGGCGGAGGUUAAAAUCCUUCACGAGUCA